rnacentral:tRNA from 1 species
GUGGCAUUAGCUCAGCAGGAUAGAGCAACGGCCUUCUAAGCCGUGGGUCGCAGGUUCAAAUCCUGCAUGCUACGCCA